CCUGAGUGGUGGGUUGCAGUCUGGGGGUGUAGGGUGGAAGCUGUCUCUGUGUAACAGGGAAUUCCUGUCCGUCGGCUUCCUGUAUAGGUCUGUGCUAAAACCAACCCCCUCCCUCUUAAUCAAAAUGUCCAGAUAACUUAUUUCAUGCGCAUCAAAGGUGAGGGUGAUUUUCAGAUGUUCACUGCUUGUAUUGAUGAAGGAGUGGAAUCGAUGAAGUUCCUCUGCUGUCCCCUGGAAUAGAAGGAACACGUCAUCAAUGAAGACUUUUACAGAGCCUGAUGAGGUGCUAGAAUGGAUUGUUAGGGCUGACAAUCACAUUCUUCUCUAACAACCCCACAUACAGAUAGGGAUAAUUAGAGUAUAUUUUUAAACUACAAUGACCAUAAUGCACUGCGUGCCUACUUGUCUUGUCUGUUUAUUUUACACCUGCUACGUAAAAGAGACAGAAGAAUGUAUGGUGGUCAAUGCUAUCCGGGAUCCUUGGGACAUCCCUACCCUAAACCCUACCUUAACCAUUUUAAAUGUCAACUUCAAUUGGCUAGAGACGUCCCAAGGAUGUAUCUCUACCUGAAAAUACAUGAUCUAAGUGUUUGAUAGUUUGUAUUCAGCAGUCAUAAAGACAUAUUUACUUUAAUGAACUACGAAAAUAGUGAUUUUGUCAGACAGCAUAGACAGCAGCUCUACACUUUAUUGACUGACUGAUCCAUUCAUCCUUCCAUCCCUCCUCAGCCUUCCUCUCCUCUGAAGACCCAGUGAGGGUGGAGCUCAGUCAGAGAGCUGUUGAGGGACUGGUUAGGAAGAACACUUCUACAGCCAGAGAGGGGCAGUGAAGAAAUGGAACAGCAAGGCCACAGAACAUGACAUAAGCAGAGCUGUGGGAGACCACCUCAAGCCCCUGGUAGAGCCGGGGGUGGUGUUUACCACUCCACCAGCAGAGCUGUGGGAGACCACCUCAAGCCCCUGGUAGAGCCGGGGGUGGUGUUUACCACUCCACCAGCAGAGCUGUGGGAGACCACCUCAAGCCCCUGGUAGAGCCGGGGGUGGUGUUUACCACUCCACCAGCAGAGCUGUGGGAGACCACCUCAAGCCCCUGGUAGAGCCGGGGGUGGUGUCUACCACUCCACCAGCAGAGCUGUGGGAGACCACCUCAAGCCCCUGGUAGAGCCGGGACACCUUCCUGUUCAAGUGAGCACAUCACAACAAGAUGCCUGGCCUUUUCUUGUUCUUGGAGGUUGGCUCUGAUGUUUCAGCCUCUUCUGGAGCUUCUAGCUGCUGGCUGUCUGGCCCCCCCUGUUGGUUCUCUGGCCACUCCUGCUGGUUCUCUGCCCAUGCCUGUUGCCUCCUUGGCCUUUCCUGGUGGCCAUCUCCAGAUCCAGUGGGCUGUGUUGUCUCCAGAUAAUCGUGGCUGUGUUGGGUGGUUAGACACCGGGUGUUGAUUUGAGCAUCAGCCUCCAGAUUCAUCUGCUCCAGGAGGGGGUAAGAAGACAGUCCCAGUAGGAGACGGAGAUCGUCCAGAACAAGAAGAGGUGUCCAUCUCCUCAGAGACUGCAGGAAAG